rnacentral:rRNA from 1 species
UACGUAGGGGCGAGCGUUGUCCGGAGUUACUGGGCGUAAAGGGCGUGCAGGCGGUGCGGUAAGUUUAGCGUGACAGUCUCCGGCUUAACUGGAGAAGGCCGCUGAAAACUGCUGGACUUGAGGGCCAGAGAGGGACAUAGAAUUCCGGGUGGAGUGGUGAAAUGCGUAGAUAUCCGGAGGAAUACCAAAGGCGAAGGCAGUGUCCUGGCUGGCAACUGACGCUGAGGCGCGAAAGCUAGGGGAGCGAACAGG